rnacentral:lncRNA from 1 species
CAUUGAAGACAUUGUGCAUUCAUUUGGUUUGUAUCACUGAGUCUUCCUCUGUCCCAAUAAUUUUUAGAUUUUGUCUUUUUUUUAUUUAGUUUAUUUUAAUUAAGUAUAUAUGACAGUAGAAUGCAUUUUGAUUCAUUGUACACAAUUGAAGCACAACUUUUUAUUUCUCUGGUUGUAUACGAUGUAAUGUCACACCAUAUGUUCAGUCAUCCAUGUAUCUAGGGUAAUGAUAUCAUCUCAUACCACCAUCUUUCCUGCCCCCCAUUAGAUUUGGUCUUUUCAUGUUGUCCCAUGAUUCCUGGAGGUUCUAUUCAUGGUUUCUUACUAUCUUCACUGUGUAGUCAACUUUAUUUUCAAAGUUUAUUUUAUUUAUUUUGUCUUCAUUGCCUGAGAUUCUGCCUUCCAAGUGAUAUAAUCUGUUGAUGAUGCUUUCUAUUAAUUUUUUU